rnacentral:rRNA from 1 species
CCUACGGGAGGCAGCAGUGAGGAAUAUUGGUCAAUGGGCGCGAGCCUGAACCAGCCAAGUAGCGUGAAGGAUGAAUGCCCUACGGGUUGUAAACCUCUUUUAUAAAGGAAUAAAGUGAGGCACGUGUGCCUUUUUGUAUGUACUUUAUGAAUAAGGAUCGGCUAACUCCGUGCCAGCAGCCGCGGUAAUACGGAGGAUCCGAGCGUUAUCCGGAUUUUUUGGGAUUAAAGGGAGCGUAGAUGGGUUGUUAAGUCAGUGGUGAAAGUUUGCGGCUCAACCGUAAAAUUGCAAUUGAUACUGGCAGUCUUGAGUACAGUUGAGGUAGGCGGAAUGCGUGGUGUAGCGGUGAAAUGCAUAGAUAUCACGAAGAACUCCGAUUGCGAAGGCAGCUUACUAAACUGCCACUGACAUUGAUGCUCGAAAGUGUGGGUAUCAAACAGGAUUAGAUACCCGGGUAGUC